rnacentral:ncRNA from 2 species
UUGAUUUUAGGUGAUGACGUUCACCGUUAAACCAAUUUAUUAAUGACGUCUGUUUAAGG